AUGAAUCAAUCAAUUAUUCUGGAAACAGGAAGUGGAGUAGGCGUUGAUGGUGUGACCCUGACCCGGUGGUGUGUUCUGUAUAUAAGACGUGUAAAUAUGUUCAGCUGUUAAACUGUUUUCCUGUAAAACUUUAUUUCCUCUCUUAUUUCUCUCUUCUGUUUGAACACGAAGCCGUUUGUACAUAUCAGAAGAGACACUGCCAGACUGAAUGGACCGGUUCUGACCGGGCCGCAGUCAGAAGGGACCAAUAUUCAGGUGGCAGGAAGGGUUACCACAGCAACGACCUUCACCAGAACCAGUAAGACCUGCUGGGUGAAGUUCUGGUCCAAGAUUUGGCUGAAACCUGAAUAUUCUCCCUGCUGAUGCCACGUUUGAGGUGUGUGUGUGUCUCUGUCUGUGUGUGUGUGUGUGUGUGUGUGUGUGUGUGUGUCUUUCCGAUGCAGAUUGUUUCUGACUCAUACUUGAAGUGUCCGGUUCUGUUUUUGUGCUGAAAGUUUGAAACAAUCAUGUUUUUGUUGUUUUUUCUCCCAAAUCCAAACUUUAAAAAAAGGAGGAUCAUUCCAGAAUCGGGUCAGAACCGGCCGGUAGUCGGGUCAGAACCGGCCGGUAGUCGGGUCGAUGGUGGCGGAGGAAGCACAAAGCGGCGGCGCGGUCCGAGCUGCAGCUCUUUGGAUCAUGUGACGUUUAGUUUCUUUCUGAAUGUAACGUGUUUGUUCUGGUUCUUCUUCAUGUGUUUUUAUGCCGCUGCGCCACCAGCAGAUAUUUAUUCACAUCCA